AUGCAAGUCGAACGGAAUCUUCGGAUUUAGUGGCGGACGGGUGAGUAACGCGUGAGAAUCUGCCUUCAGGAUGGGGACAACAAUUGGAAACGAUUGCUAAUACCCGAUAUGACGAAAGUUGAAAGAUUUAUCGCCUGGAGAUGAGCUCGCGUCAAAUUAGCUAGAUGGUGUGGUAACGGCGCACCAUGGCGACGAUCUGUAGCUGGUCUGAGAGGAUGAGCAGCCACACUGGGACUGAGACACGGCCCAAACUCCUACGGGAGGCAGCAGUGGGGAAUUUUCCGCAAUGGGCGCAAGCCUGACGGAGCAAUACCGCGUGAGGGAGGAAGGCUCUUGGGUCGUAAACCUCUUUUCUCAGGGAAGAACAAAAUGACGGUACCUGAGGAAUCAGCAUCGGCUAACUCCGUGCCAGCAGCCGCGGUAAUACGGAGGAUGCAAGCGUUAUCCGGAAUGAUUGGGCGUAAAGCGUCCGUAGGUGGUUAUGUAAGUCUGUGGUUAAAGCGUGGGGCUCAACCCCAUAAAGGCCAUGGAAACUACACAACUAGAGUCAAGUAGGGGUAGAGGGAAUUCCCAGUGUAGCGGUGAAAUGCGUAGAGAUUGGGAAGAACACCGGUGGCGAAAGCGCUCUACUGGACUUAAACUGACACUGAGGGACGAAAGCUAGGGGAGCGAAAGGGAUUAGAUACCCCUGUAGUCCUAGCCGUAAACGAUGGAUACUAG
rnacentral:rRNA from 1 species